rnacentral:tRNA from 1 species
UCGGGAUAGCUCAGUUGGUAGAGCAGAGGACUGAAAAUCCUCGUGUACCGGUUCCAAUUA